UACGUGGGGGGCAAACGUUGUUCGGAAUCACUGGGCGUAAAGGGAGCGUAGGCGGGCUUCUAAGUUAGAUGUUUAAUCCCGGGGCCCAACCCCGGACAGGCACCUAAAACUGGAAGUCUUGAAUAGUGGAGAGGACGGCGGAAUUGGGGGUGUAGCGGUGGAAUGCGUAGAGAUCCCCAAGAACACCAGUUGCGAAGGCGGCCGUCUGGACACAUAUUGACGCUGAGGCUCGAAAGCAUGGGGAGCAAACAGG
rnacentral:rRNA from 1 species